UGCCGUUACUUAUAAAUUUUGGUUGACAGGGUGCAUAAACAAUAAAUAGGAGUUUUCGCCCAUCUUAUAUUUAGAAUUAUGCGUAAAGUGAUAUAACUCAUUAACCAUACAUAAUAAAGACCUAGGGUCUUUUGAUUUGAGAUCCUUGGUUUAUGACCUUGAAAUUGAGGUCAAGGUCAUAGGUAAUUUGCACGUUGUAGAUUUUGACCUUUGCUUUAAAUUCAUAUUUAUACAUCAUAAAGCCAUAGGAAAUGACAUUUAAAACUGAUUUUUAAUAUUUUGAUAACAAAAUAGAUAUUG
rnacentral:lncRNA from 1 species